CAGAACCUGUGGUGACUCUUAUUUCCAGAUUUCAACUUUUAGCAUGCGAGUAUGUCGCUUCGACUGGAGUCCAUACGAGUGUACCGCGAACUUUAUCGCGCUGCGUCACGGUCGGCACGGGAAUGCACGCUGUACAACAGUUCAGGUUUACUGGACUACGUCUCGCGGCGUUUUGGUCAGGAAGCAGACAAGCAGAAUCGCCAGCUUGCAAAUGCUCUGCGAACCUUGGAGCGGCGCGCCAGCGAUCAGGGGUCGAAAAAGCGGCGCGGUGCGGCAGGUGGCCGUGCCCAAGCAAAACUACUACAGCAGUAUCAAAGGUACAUAUCCAUGCAAAUCGAUCGUACUCGCGCCCUUGCCAAGGCUCUCUACAUGGCGCCGGGCAAUGUGCAACUUACAUCUGUGCUUCAGGUCCUCUCCGCCGGUGUUGGGAACUGGUCGUAUCAGCAAAUGAUGGAGUCAAGCAUUCUCUCGUUUCUUGAGCACGAAGCUAAGAAAGUUUCUCACAACGAAGUUGCAGAGGACAUGACUAGCGAGCGUCAAAAUCGGAUCAUGCUGCAGGCGCUCUUGCCAUAUGCGGAGCGACUGCUACUUGUUCAUCGCACAGCUGUGGGCGAGCAAAAUCGGGUGAGCUCACUGACUUAUCUGACGCCUUGGCAAGUGACAGAGUCUAUAAUUGGCAGUCGAAGUGGUGUAUCUGCUGUGCAUCUUCGCGUUGGUCGUGAUCACUUAGUGGUCGAAGUGGACGAGACUUACAACAAACAAGUGGUGUACAUUUGCUGCACCCGGCAGGAUGGGGGCGACUCGGGCAGCUACGAGUGGGCGCAGGAAGUAGAACGUGUGGAGAUAAGCGAAAGUGAGGAGGUUCAGAAGACGAUGUUUCACAGCCAGUACCUAUUUAUGGCAACUCGCAUUUGUGACGCUCUUCUGCACGACUCUCCGCUGCAUCCGACGCGCAGCACCGUUGUGAUUGGCCACGCUGUUGGCGGGGCGGUAGGCUUGGUGCUGUCACUCCUGCUCACUCAACGGGGGUUCGAGGUGUCGAAUACGAUUUCUCUCGGCGCACCGAAAUCGUUGCAAGGGACGUUGGAGCGCUACGUUGCAGCGAUUAAUCCGAUUCGGUUAGUACUAGCGGGCGACCCGCUAGUAGAGCUUCCUAUCACGGGUGCCGAAGGGGCACCAUUUGUCCACAUUGGCGAAAUUCUUCUUCUGUCGCCAGCGAAUUCGUCAAGCGAUACCUUAGCCGCAGCAGAUACGUCUGAGUGCGAGAGUGACGACAAUGUUGUAUCUGACGCGCCGCCCUCACCGAGGGUAGACAAUUUUACCGCUGAGUCUCUUAGUGUUAUGAUGGCCGACUCUGAUGGCGUGCCUUUUGCAAGUGGCAGCGCUGAUGACCCUUCCGCAGCUGCAUCUGUCUCUUUCAGCAAGGCAGACGAGGCUCUCGCUGAGGAAGAGAACAGUGAAGAAGGAAUGUCCGAAAUACUGCGUGUUGCUGCGCAGCGAUACCGCGAUCACUUUUUGGUGGAGCAUUAUGUGCGGCAUUUGAAAGACCCGUCGGUGGUGCUGACGUACGCCGAGGGAGAUGAGGUUUGGGAUGAGGGAGACUACGAAGAGCUAAAACGGAAGAGUGCUCGCGAGCCGCCAGCCAGUUCGGAGGAGCGUCGCAUUCGCGAUCUUCGCGGGCCACUGUAAGGCUCUCCAUCACAAAGCUCGUCAGGUCGACUUCUUGCUCUGCUUCCCUGAUUGAUGUACUGGUGGAUGUUUGUUAAUGGCGCUCUGCCGAUUUCGACGGUGUGUCGGAUCUGUAAGAUGGAGCGCUGAAUCGCAAAAAGAAAAGGAAACUUCAGAUUGGAAGGACGCGAUGGCUGAUCAGUUUUUUCCCCUUCUUACACAAUGCACUUUGAUUGCAGCCACAGAAAUUACCGCCGUUACAAAUGUUGCGAUAAAGUCCAAUGGAACCGCAGAUGAACGCUUGAAGACAGCGGAAAAUACUGAAAUACGUUUCUGGCAAUCAGAUGUCGCUGUGGGCGGAACACUUUUGCGUGCCAUGAAAGGCUGUGCGACUUCGCGAAAGCAGCAUGUAUAGGUCUGUUUCCUUUUCUGUGCAGCAUCUAGUAACUGGGGGCUACACAAGGACGAACUCGACCUCGCAAACGCUUCUAAUAGUCAUAUUCUCCCUUCGUUUUUUUUUUGUGUCCUGUGCUGCACUUAAUACUCUCGUACCAAG
rnacentral:misc_RNA from 1 species